UACGAAGGGGGCUAGCGUUGCUCGGAAUGACUGGGCGUAAAGAGCUCGUAGGCGGUUUGUCGCGUCGGCCGUGAAAACUUGGGGCUUAACUCCAAGCUUGCGGUCGAUACGGGCAGACUUGAGUUCGGCAGGGGAGACUGGAAUUCCUGGUGUAGCGGUGAAAUGCGCAGAUAUCAGGAGGAACACCGGUGGCGAAGGCGGGUCUCUGGGCCGAUACUGACGCUGAGGAGCGAAAGCGUGGGGAGCGAACAGG
rnacentral:rRNA from 1 species